GUCAACUUAAAACAAAAAAUCUGACAAAGAUUUGUUCGAAACCAUGGUUGAGUUUGAGAUGGGGAGCAUCCAGGAAUCCCAGAUGUCCCAGUUAGACCUCUGUAUGCAGGCAGUGAAUGAAAACAUUCUGGUUUAGAUGCAGAUGCUGAAUACAUGCACAAAUCUAAUACUUCUCACAGCUACAGAUAGCCAAGAUGUGUAAAGAUCGUUGUGUGAUGCUACAUCUGAGCUGCCAGGUAUAUCUGGGCGCUAAGUGGUGAUUCAAGCCAUGGCCCGAGGAAGCAGGUUACCACUAAACAGUUUGUUGCCAG